CUUGUAUAUUUAUUUUAGGUUAUUUUUGGUAAUGCCUUCACACCACCAUUUUGCAUGCUGUUUUCUGUUGUCACUGCCAGGUCAUUUAUGAAAACUAUGCCUUUUGUUGGUUAUGUGCUUUGAACAUUCAUUACAUGUGACAUUAUCAUAUCUUUGAUAUUUUAGAUGGUGGUGUGCUUCACAGGGAUUUCAAACUUUUGUCAUAAAGAAAAAAACUCUUGCUAAAAAAGAAAAAUAAUGAUCAAUUUAACAUGUACAGUGAGAUUUUGAACUUGUUUUAAUUUCUUUACUUCGGUUUUUAGUUGUGCUUUGGACAUUUUAGUUUCUGAGUUUUUGAAUUUAGAAGCCUUGACCAUGCUUCUCGAGUUUGGGGUAAGGCUCACUGUGAUGCUAGACACCAAGAAGUCAAAAUACAAAAGCCAAAAGAGAAAUCAAAUAACAAAGCAAAAAAUAAAAAUAAA